rnacentral:rRNA from 1 species
UACGUAGGGUGCGAGCGUUGUCCGGAAUUAUUGGGCGUAAAGGGCUCGUAGGCGGUUUGUCGCGUCGGGAGUGAAAACACUGGGCUUAACUCAGUGCUGGCUUCCGAUACGGGCAGACUAGAGGUAUGCAGGGGAGAGCGGAACUCCUGGUGUAGCGGUGGAAUGCGCAGAUAUCAGGAGGAACACCAAUGGCGAAGGCAGCUCGCUGGGACGGUACUGACGCUGAGACGCGAAAGCGUGGGGAGCAAACAGG